rnacentral:rRNA from 1 species
GAUGAACGCUGGCGGCGUGCCUAAUACAUGCAAGUAGAACGCUGAAGGAAGGAGCUUGCUCUUUCCGGAUGAGUUGCGAACGGGUGAGUAACGCGUAGGUAACCUGCCUGGUAGCGGGGGAUAACCAUUGGAAACGAUAGCUAAUACCGCAUAACAGUAGAUGUUUCAUGAUAUCUACUUAAAAGGUGCAAUUGCACCACUACCAUAUGGACCUGCGUUGUAUUAGCUAGUUGGUGAGGUAACGGCUCACCAAGGCGACGAUACAUAGCCGACCUGAGAGGGUGAUCGGCCACACUGGGACUGAGACACGGCCCAGACUCCUACGGGAGGCAGCAGUAGGGAAUCUUCGGCAAUGGACGGAAGUCUGACCGAGCAACGCCGCGUGAGUGAAGAAGGUUUUCGGAUCGUAAAGCUCUGUUGUAAGAGAAGAACGAGUGUGAGAGUGGAAAGUUCACAAUGUGACGGUAUCUUACCAGAAAGGGACGGCUAACUACGUG